rnacentral:rRNA from 1 species
UCGGGAAUUUUGGGCAAUGGGCGAAAGCCUGACCCAGCAACGCCGCGUGAAGGAUGAAGUAUUUCGGUAUGUAAACUUCGAAAGAAUAGGAAGAAUAAAUGACGGUACUAUUUAUAAGGUCCGGCUAACUACGUGCCAGCAGCCGCGGUAAUACGUAGGGACCAAGCGUUGUUCGGAUUUACUGGGCGUAAAGGGCGCGUAGGCGGCUUGACAAGUCACUUGUGAAAUCUCUGGGCUUAACCCAGAACGGCCAAGUGAAACUGUCAUGCUAGAGUGCAGAAGGGGCAAUCGGAAUUCUUGGUGUAGCGGUGAAAUGCGUAGAUAUCGGGAGGAACACCUGUGGCGAAGGCGGCCACCUGGUUGGAUACUGACGCUGAGACGCGAAAGCGUGGGAAGCAAACAGGAUUAGAUACCCAAGUAGUCCCUGAGCGGGCUGGCAAGGCGCAU